rnacentral:rRNA from 1 species
GAUGAACGCUGACAGAAUGCUUAACACAUGCAAGUCAACUUGAAUUUGGGUUUUUAACUUAGAUUUGGGUGGCGGACGGGUGAGUAACGCGUAAAGAACUUGCCUCACAGCUAGGGACAACAUUUAGAAAUGAAUGCUAAUACCUGAUAUUAUGAUUUUAAGGCAUCUUAGAAUUAUGAAAGCUAUAAGCACUGUGAGAGAGCUUUGCGUCCCAUUAGCUAGUUGGAGAGGUAACAGCUCACCAAGGCGAUGAUGGGUAGCCGGCCUGAGAGGGUGAACGGCCACAAGGGGACUGAGACACGGCCCUUACUCCUACGGGAGGCAGCAGUGGGGAAUAUUGGACAAUGGACCGAGAGUCUGAUCCAGCAAUUCUGUGUGCACGAUGAAGUUUUUCGGAAUGUAAAGUGCUUUCAGUUGGGAAGAAAAAAAUGACGGUACCAACAGAAGAAGUGACGGCUAAAUACGUGCCAGCAGCCGCGGUAAUACGUAUGUCACGAGCGUUAUCCGGAUUUAUUGGGCGUAAAGCGCGUCUAGGUGGUUAUGUAAGUCUGAUGUGAAAAUGCAGGGCUCAACUCUGUAUUGCGUUGGAAACUGUGUAACUAGAGUACUGGAGAGGUAAGCGGAACUACAAGUGUAGAGGUGAAAUUCGUAGAUAUUUGUAGGAAUGCCGAUGGGGAAGCCAGCUUACUGGACAGAUACUGACGCUAAAGCGCGAAAGCGUGGGUAGCAAACAGG